UGUGGCCUCAAAUCAGGUAGGACUACCCGCUGAACUUA
rnacentral:rRNA from 1 species